CCUUAAUGAUGAAUCUAUCCCGAACCUGACUUGUGAUGAAAGCUCAUAUACGGAUCUGACUUCUGAAUU
ensembl:snoRNA